ACGAUCAUAUAAUACAACAUAAACGCCAUAUUACAGUGAU
rnacentral:guide_RNA from 1 species